rnacentral:rRNA from 1 species
GGUGAACGUUGGCGGCAUGCUUUACACAUGCAAGUCGAACGGUAACAGGGUGCUUGCACCGCUGACGAGUGGCGAACGGGUGAGUAAUGCGUCGGAACGUGCCGAGUAGUGGGGGAUAACGCAGCGAAAGUUGUGCUAAUACCGCAUACGUACUGAGGUAGAAAGUGGGGGACCUUCGGGCCUCACGCUAUUCGAGCGGCCGACGUCUGAUUAGCUAGUAGGUGAGGUAAAGGCUCACCUAGGCGACGAUCAGUAGCGGGUCUGAGAGGAUGAUCCGCCACACUGGGACUGAGCCACGGCCCAGACUCCUACGGGAGGCAGCAGUGGGGAAUUUUGGACAAUGGGCGAAAGCCUGAUCCAGCCAUGCCGCGUGUCUGAAGAAGGCCUUCGGGUUGUAAAGGACUUUUGUCAGGGAGGAAAUCCCUAGUGCUAAUAACACUGGGGGAUGACAGUACCUGAAGAAUAAGCACCGGCUAACUACGUGCCAGCAGCCGCCGUAACAC